rnacentral:rRNA from 1 species
UACAGAGGGUGCGAGCGUUGUCCGGAAUCACUGGGCGUAAAGGGCGCGUAGGUGGCGACCCAAGUCCGUGGUGAAAGCUCGUCGCUUAACGACGAGUCGGCCACGGAGACUGGGUGGCUCGAGCACUGUAGGGGCAGAUGGAAUUCCGGGUGUAGCGGUGGAAUGCGUAGAGAUCCGGAAGAACACCAGUGGCGAAAGCGGCUCUCUGGAACGGUACUGACGCUGAGACGCGAAAGCGUGGGGAGCGAACAGG